CAGAUCGCGAUCGAGGCCGAAAGCUCGGGAGAAGCGACCGCCGGAGCGGCGAAUGAUCUCCUGCGCGAAUCUCCACUCUCUCUUCUCCAUCUCGUAAGCUCGAGCUGAACGCAGCUUCCGGCAGCCAUGGCGCUCAACCUCCGCCAGAAGCAAACAGAAUGUCUCAGCACCCUACGCUUUUUGAGAGGAAGUGCUAAAGCCGGCCUGAAGAAGUGUCGCUCAGUGAAAGUGUCAACAUCUUGAUGGUGGAUCUCCCUUGAUGCAACCUUAGAUGUCUGAUGACUGCAACGACAGAAACAAAGGCGGAAAAUGUAGAUGAAAGAUUGGCAACUGGACAAGCAGAUUUGCGGUGUAUCUUCUGCAUGAAACUCAUCCAGGAAAGAGUGGGUGGUUACAAAAUACCUUCUUGAGCAAUCCCAGAGUUCUGCCUCCUUGUGCUUCUCAAGAUACUUGUAUAUCAUUUUUCUCUGUGUAGGUUGUUUUACUAGAUAUGCAGGCAUUUAUUGUCGAGAAAAGAGACAUUCUGGUGUCCCUUAGGUACUCACGUGAUUUGCGCUUAUCGAACACCUUUCGUUGUUUGUGAGUUAGCCUUUACAUGUUUCUCCAGUUUUGAUACCUUACGAAGGUUUACAACUUUAUCAUC